rnacentral:lncRNA from 1 species
UUAGCUGCCUCGUAAGCAAUUAAGAGAAUGAGUUUUCGGUAAACAUAUAUCGUGAUUCAAAAUUUCACCAACAUUGAAAAGAAAAAUAUCAUCGGAUCGAGAGUUAAUUGGUGUAAGUUUUUUAUUUUCCACCCUCAACUGCUUUGGAGUCGAGAAAAGACAAAUGUGGCCCACCUUCCAUCAAAACCCAUGAUCAAAAAUUUGCUGAACUCUAGUUCAUUCUACUUGAAGAAUACUGGAGAUCCCACUUUUCUGCAAACGUCGGCAGUACAUGCAUACACUGAAAUCUUUGGUAAGUUGUCAUGUCAUGGAGAUCAUGCUCUUUGCUGGAACUUGUUUCUCCCUUUUCUCUGUUUGUGAUGAAGACAAGCACAAACUUGGUGACCUUGAGGACAUGUUUAAUCCAGAUUGGAAUAUAUAUAUAUAUGUGUGCGUGUGUGUGUCAAUACUGCUGGUAUUCACUGGAAGUUAGGCUUUUUCUUUCUGCCCCAAAACACUUUAUUAGUACUUGGUAACUUACCCAUUAAUUGCAUUCAAAUCAUUUGCCAUGUUAGCUUAAUUGUUAAUGAGAUAGAUUACAAAGGAUAAUAUAUAAGAUGCUAAAUUGUGUGAAGAUGAAAUGAAACAACACAUCUAAUUAUGGAGAUCCAUAAAUCAUUCUGUGCCUAAAUAAAAAAACCCUUUUGCAGGUUCAGACCUCUAGAAUGAUAGAAUCUAUCCCAUCACAACUUGCCCAAAAUGGGGUUCGCAAAAGACCAGAGGGAGUUGUCCUGUCUCAUCUCCCUUCCACCUUUAAUUAGUGUAUCACACAUGUAAAAUCCUUGAGAAGCUCUAACAAAUGCUAGGUUUUUUGUUUUUUUGGUGGGUCAAAUAGGCAGGUAAAAGUUUCCAAGUUCAAACCCAAUUGCAAAGAAAGCUAACUACGGAAAAUAGCUAACAUAUCUUUCCAGAAUGUCUGGUUGGUGGCAUUAGCAUCGGGGGAGAACCUAUCUUAUAUUUCUGAUAGGCCUAGAAUUUUUUUUGGAAAGACUUGGGAUGAUCUAGACCUAGAACUCAUAGAUACAGUAUGUAUGUAUGUAUGUGUGUGGGUUGGGUUGGUUUUUGGGGGAUGGUAAAGUUAAAAUGAAAGUAUUAUAGCUAUGGGAUAAGAGACACAGAGUGAGAGAGGAAUGACGCAACAGUAAAAAUAAUAAGAUUCUAAUAUUUGUUUACCGACCUCCCCAAUGAACAGUCUUGGCUGUUUCUCUCCACUCCCUCUCACCUUCCUUUUAAACUCUGUCCUCCUUGCUAACUCUUCCUCAAUAACCAACUCUCUCUCUCUCUCUCUCUCUCUCUCUCUCUCUCUCUCUCUCUCUCUCUCUCUCUCUCUCUCUACUACAAGUACCAACCCAACAACCAACAAAUAGUGCGCUUCCCCGUUCCAAAACUAAGAAGGCUGCAUUAUAUGCUAAGCAUGCCAAUGCCGCCUCCUCAACAUCUCCCACCAACAAAUGAAGCAAAGAAUGAAAAUGAAGAAAACCCUUUGGUUUUUGAUGCUUCAGUUGCUCAGUACCAAUCCAGCAUACCCUCCAAAUUCAUAUGGCCCGACCACGAGAAGCCAUGCCCUGAGCCGCCAGAGCUUCCAGUUCCUCACAUUGACAUGAAAGGCUUUCUCACAGGGGACACUAGGGAGGUCUCAAACGCGACUUGUUUAGUCGAUGAGGCAUGCAGGAAGCAUGGAUUUUUCCUCGUUGUUAAUCAUGGAGUUGAUUCGCAGCUCAUAGCAAAAGCUCAUGAAUACAUGGACUUGUUCUUUGGCAUGCAACUCUCACAGAAGCAAAGGGCUCAGAGAAAGACUGGUGACCACUGCGGAUAUGCCAGUAGCUUCAUUGGCAGGUUCUCCUCCAAACUUCCAUGGAAAGAAACACUUUCUUUCAGAUAUAGUGCUGACAGCCACUGCUCAGUCAAUGACUAUUUUGUGAAUGUAAUGGGUGAAGAUUUCAAAGAAAUCGGGUAAGAACACAUAAUCAAGAGUAUAAUGUUGUGCUUCUGCAAUAAAAGAAAUAUAUCUACUCAAACUAAUUUCAUGAUCUCUAUAAGUGGAUUAUGUCAUCACUAAUCACUAAACCAACAAAUAAUCAUCAUGAUCUCAUACAUUACCAAUAGCCCUUUACUUAUGCAGCAUAUUUUUUCCCUGCUAGGAAGGUGUACCAAGAAUACUGUGAAGCCGUGAGCAAUCUCUCCAGUGGGAUAAUGGAGCUGCUGGGAAUGAGCUUAGGAGUUGGCCAAGAGUAUUUCAGAGAAUUCUUCGAAGGAAACGAUUCAAUAAUGAGGUUGAACUACUAUCCCAGAUGCCAAAAACCAGAUUUAACACUAGGAACUGGGCCUCACUGUGAUCCCACUUCCUUAACAAUUCUUCAUCAAGAUCAAGUAGGCGGCCUUCAAGUGUUUGUAGAUGAAAAGUGGCGCUCUGUUACUCCUAAGCCUGAUGCUUUUGUUGUCAACAUUGGUGAUACAUUUAUGGUAAGUUAUUUCAUUUAUGAAUUAGGCUCAGUUUGUUUAGACAGAAAAUCUUUUUCGUUUUUCCCCCUACGAAAAGUCUACAAGACUCCAACAUGUGGGACAAAAACAGGACCUUCAGAAGACUUUCUACACAAAAUAUGAGGCAUUCUUUAUGGAUUUGAAUAUAUGCUUUCUCUGAUGUGAUUUUUCAGGCUCUAUCCAAUGGGAUUUACAAGAGCUGCUUGCAUAGAGCAGUGGUUAACAACAGAACUGUGAGGAAAUCUCUUACUUUCUUCCUUUGUCCCAAAAAGGACAGGGUGGUGACCCCACCAAGAGGUUUGGUUGAUUCCAAGAGCCCAAGGAUGUACCCGGACUUUACCUGGCCGACUUUGCUAGAGUUUACACAGAAACACUACCGGGCUGACAUGAAGACGCUGGAUGCCUUCUCAGACUGGAUUAUAAAUAAAAACAACUAACCAUGAAAGAAGCACCAGGAAAAGUAGGUGUACGUAAUGCUUUGGUGGGUGUUCAUGGGAAAAGAUGACAGAAACACCAAGAAGGGAGGAGAGGGAACUAGGCUGUUAACUAGUGUGUCAUCGUCGGAGAGAAUCAUGUCAGUUUGGAGGCAUAAAUAAGUUAAGGGGCUCCAUAUCUUCUUAAUUUUACUUUUCUGUCAAUUCAACAAUGAAUCAUUGUAAUUAUAAUAUAUACUUUGUUGACCACCAAGCUGUGUUGUUAUUGGACUUCCAUAAACUAUUCUAAUUAAUAUCUGCAUGUACAGCCGUCAACUUCCAAAGAAAUUAUGCCUCUCAGCUUGAUAUCAAAGUAAAGGAACAAAUAGAUAGUAUUAUUAAAAUCUAGAACAAUGUAUACUUUACUAUAUCUUAAUUACUAUGAGAAAUUAUAUGCAGGGUGAGGUUUUUCUCAUUUCAUCCUCACAAGUAUCGACAGUGACGUGAGUUUUAACAACUAGGGUAAUGUCCUUUGCUUAAGAUGCACAAAGUUUUAAUAUAUAAAUUGGUGUGCAUCUUUGCUUUUUACUACUUCAACAAAAAGUGAAAAAUAGUUUUUAGGUAAACAUUAAAGAAAUACUUGUAAAGAGAACAUAAGGAUUAGAAUUAGAUUCACAACCAAGCACUAUAACUAUUUUAUAUUAGGUUUUUCUAGUUUUAAUAUUAUCAGUUAUAUCUGUCUAGUUCAGCAACAUUGCAAUGGAGCUCAAAAUCAAUUCUUUGUCAAAUCAAUUGAAAGAACUACCAUUUGUUGGUAACAUGAAAGGUUACUAAAUUUUGCUAAAUCCUGAGUAUAAUCUUAUUACUAUUGCACAUGUUUACUUACCGGAAAUGGAGGAAGCCAUGAAUCAGGGAAUUUAGAUAAGAGAAUCAAGGUAUUGGAACCGGAUCAACUACUCCCCCUAGUUGAUACCAUUCCCGAUUUUGAGGGUAUUUAAUUACGAAUUUUACUGUGGAAUUCGCAUAAUAUUUUAUUCCUUGCUUGUUAGUAAACGCGGAAAAUCAGGAAUUGGAAUCAUUCCAAUAUGCAUGCGUUAGUAAACAGAGGAGAAGCAUAUAUUGGAUUCAUUCCAAUACCCAUUUCUGAUAAGUAAACAUUCCAAAGACCCUUUGUUAAAUAAAACUGUUAGAAGACUACAUAAAUGUAAUUAAGACAUAUUUUUAUUAGCCUAAUUUUAGCCAUAAUUUUUUUUAGUAAAAAGAAAACACCAACUACAAAAAAAAAAUUUAAAUAAAUAAAAUAUUUUUUAAAAAAACCAACAACAACAACAAUUGGAAAGCAAAGCAUUACCAGAACAUCCAUGGCUGAAACACCAAGAAUUGGGAAGAGCUCACCCCAUGUCAGCUGCUGAGUACCCACGAAAACCCAAGAGCUUGAAGCCUCAGACAACAACAAAGUGAAAAGGUUGAAGCAAUUCCUCAGUUGCCCAACUGAAAACCAUCAAAUUGAAGCCAAUGCGUGAAGGACCAAAGAUAGGCCAAGGCGUAGCGAAGCAGAGUGUGGAGGUCAAGCUUGUGAGCUUAAGGGCUGGAGUGGAUGUCAAACUUGAGAGAGAACGAUCGGGUUUUGUGAGGGAGAUUUUAAAAAUAAAACAAAAUGAAAAAGGCCAAUAUUUUACUUCUUACUUUUUCAAAACCAUUUUUUUAAUGUCUGCCCAAAUAUGGUUUUGAAUACCUUUUGC